CAGCGAGCUUUCUGUGUGAAUGAGAAAUCAAAAUACAGAAAAGCAAGUCAGCUGCAAGUACAAAACCGUCCGCUGGACUUGAACCGGGCCCAGAGCUGGAAUUCCAUGGCUUCUUGACUCGCCUGAACCUUAGCAGGACCUGGCAAGCCCUUUUCCAGGCUCAGAGCUUCGUCCUGGCCAAGCACGCCAGCCAAUCCCGAGGCAUCGCCGAGUCUGUAAAGAAACAAGCCACCCUGUGUGUGUGUGUGUGUGUGAUGGGCAGAGCUUUUGCAGGAAGCUCGAUUGUCAGAAGCAGGAAGCGUUGGAGAUAAUACCACCCAGGGAAGACUUUAUUUGUACCACAUGGCAAAGCAUCAUGGAAAGGUCACUUUGGACCCAGGAUGGGGAGUCCCUGAGGCAGGGAGAGGUUCAUUAAAAUCCUGACUAUCUAGGGUCAGGCAUUUGACCACUGAAGUGGAUCCCAGAGCUUACCACCCUCAGGAUUGGACGGGCUUUUCCUUGGAGUCUUGUGGCAUAAUUUCUGUGUUUCUGAACUCAUGGAGGAUGAGAAGUCUUAGGUUACUGGAUGCUGGUGCUGUGUAUACUUCUGCUUAAAUCUUGGUGUGCACACACAUUAUUUCUCUUGGGAACCCUGUUUUCAAACCAUCACACUAAGUAACAAGAUGAAAGCUCACUGAAGCAAUGGAAGCCAACUGUUUAGGAUAAAUCUGCCUUUGUCAGAGUCCCACUCUGAAGAUAUGGCCCCAGAUCCUCACAAACCUUUUCCAGAGCCACCUAGGAGCCCUGAGACUUCAUAGAGGAAAUGGAAGAGGAAUAAUGAAUAUUGCUACAAUGCUUAUCUGUAUGUGAAAUUGGCUUUACAUCACCAAAUACUAUGGUCCGAGCUCUUCCUUAACUUACUUGUGAAUUUUAAAAAAAAUCAUAUAAUCUCCACUGGAGAGUUGGCUUAGCAGGGAAAGGUGCUCACUUGCAAAAGCCUAAUGGCCCAGAUUCAAUUCCUGUGCCCUUGUAAAG